rnacentral:rRNA from 1 species
AGUCGAACGGUAACGCGGGGCAACCUGGCGACGAGUGGCGAACGGGUGAGUAAUAUAUCGGAACGUGCCCAGUAGUGGGGGAUAGCCCGGCGAAAGCCGGAUUAAUACCGCAUGAGACCUGAGGGUGAAAGCGGGGGAUCGCAAGACCUCGCGCUAUUGGAGCGGCCGAUAUCAGAUUAGCUAGUUGGUGGGGUAAAGGCCUACCAAGGCAACGAUCUGUAGUUGGUCUGAGAGGACGACCAGCCACACUGGGACUGAGACACGGCCCAGACUCCUACGGGAGGCAGCAGUGGGGAAUUUUGGACAAUGGGCGCAAGCCUGAUCCAGCAAUGCCGCGUGCAGGAAGAAGGCCUUCGGGUUGUAAACUGCUUUUGUCAGGGAAGAAAUCUUCUGGGUUAAUACCUCGGGAGGAUGACGGUACCUGAAGAAUAAGCACCGGCUAACUACGUGCCAGCAGCCGCGGUAAUACGUAGGGUGCGAGCGUUAAUCGGAAUUACUGGGCGUAAAGCGUGCGCAGGCGGCUUUGCAAGACAGAUGUGAAAUCCCCGGGCUCAACCUGGGAACUGCAUUUGUGACUGCAAGGCUAGAGUACGGCAGAGGGGGAUGGAAUUCCGCGUGUAGCAGUGAAAUG